rnacentral:rRNA from 1 species
CGGUAGAGGAGCGUUCUGUAAGCCUGUGAAGGUGAGUUGAGAAGCUUGCUGGAGGUAUCAGAAGUGCGAAUGCUGACAUGAGUAACGACAAUGCGAGUGAAAAACUCGCACGCCGAAAGACCAAGGUUUCCUGCGCAACGUUAAUCGACGCAGGGUUAGUCGGUCCCUAAGGCGAGGCUGAAAAGCGUAGUCGAUGGAAAACAGGUUAAUAUUCCUGUACUUCCAGUUAUUGCGAUGGAGGGACGGAGAAGGUUAGGCCAGCCUGGCGUUGGUUGUCCAGGUUUAAGGUGGUAGGCUGGAAUCUUAGGCAAAUCCGGGAUUUCAAGGCCGAGAGCUGAUGACGAGUUGCCUUUAGGCGACGAAGUGGUUGAUACCAUGCUUCCAAGAAAAGCUCCUAAGCUUCAGAUAACUGGGAACCGUACCCCAAACCGACACAGGUGGUUAGGUAGAGAAUACCAAGGCGCUUGAGAGAACUCGGGUGAAGGAACUAGGCAAAAUGGCACCGUAACUUCGGGAGAAGGUGCGCCGGCGAGGGUKAAGGACUUGCUCCGUAAGCCCAUGCCGGUCGAAGAUACCAGGCCGCUGCGACUGUUUAUUAAAAACACAGCACUCUGCAAACACGAAAGUGGACGUAUAGGGUGUGACGCCUGCCCGGUGCCGGAAGGUUAAUUGAUGGGGUUAGCGCAAGCGAAGCUCUUGAUCGAAGCCCCGGUAAACGGCGGCCGUAACUAUAACGGUCCUAAGGUAGCGAAAUUCCUUGUCGGGUAAGUUCCGACCUGCACGAAUGGCGUAACGAUGGCGGCGCUGUCUCCACCCGAGACUCAGUGAAAUUGAAAUCGCUGUGAAGAUGCAGUGUAUCCGCGGCUAGACGGAAAGACCCCGUGAACCUUUACUAUAGCUUUGCACUGGACUUUGAAUUUGCUUGUGUAGGAUAGGUGGGAGGCUUUGAAGUGGGGACGCCAGUUCUCAUGGAGCCAUCCUUGAAAUACCACCCUGGCAACUUUGAGGUUCUAACUCAGGUCCGUUAUCCGGAUCGAGGACAGUGUAUGGUGGGUAGUUUGACUGGGGCGGUCUCCUCCCAAAGAGUAACGGAGGAGUACGAAGGUGCGCUCAGACCGGUCGGAAAUCGGUCGUAGAGUAUAAAGGCAAAAGCGCGCUUGACUGCGAGACAAACACGUCGAGCAGGUACGAAAGUAGGUCUUAGUGAUCCGGUGGUUCUGUAUGGAAGGGCCAUCGCUCAACGGAUAAAAGGUACUCCGGGGAUAACAGGCUGAUACCGCCCAAGAGUUCAUAUCGACGGCGGUGUUUGGCACCUCGAUGUCGGCUCAUCACAUCCUGGGGCUGAAGCCGGUCCCAAGGGUAUGGCUGUUCGCCAUUUAAAGUGGUACGCGAGCUGGGUUUAGAACGUCGUGAGACAGUUCGGUCCCUAUCUGCCGUGGACGUUUGAGAUUUGAGAGGGGCUGCUCCUAGUACGAGAGGACCGGAGUGGACGAACCUCUGGUGUUCCGGUUGUCACGCCAGUGGCAUUGCCGGGUAGCUAUGUUCGGAAGAGAUAACCGCUGAAAGCAUCUAAGCGGGAAACUUGCCUCAAGAUGAGAUCUCACUGGGAUCUUGAAUCCCCUAAAGGGCCGUCGAAGACUACGACGUUGAUAGGUUGGGUGUGUAAGCGCUGUGAGGCGUUGAGCUAACCAAUACUAAUUGCCCGUGAGGCUUGACCAU